rnacentral:rRNA from 1 species
ACUGCUCAGUAACACGUGAUCAACUUACCCUAUAGAGGAAAAUAACCUCGGGAAACUGAGGAUAAUGUUCCAUAGUUGAAUCGGCUUGGAAAAGUUUUUCAAUAAAAGGGAUAAGGAAAAUGGUCCUUAUCUGCUAUAGGAUAGGAUCGUGCUCGAUUAUGGUUGUUGGUGAGGUAAAGGCUCACCAAGCCGAUAAUCGAUAGGGGCCGUGAGAGCGGGAGCCCCGAGAUGGGUACUGAGACAACGACCCAGGCCUUACGAGGCGCAGCAGGCGCGAAACCUCCGCAAUACACGAAAGUGUGACGGGGUUACCCAAAGUGUUCUAUUUAGAACUGUGGUAGGUGAGUAAUGUCCCCUACUAGAAAGGAGAGGGCAAGGCUGGUGCCAGCCGCCGCGGUAAAACCAGCUCUUCAAGUGGUCGGGAUAAUUAUUGGGCUUAAAGUGUCCGUAGCCGGUUUAGUAAGUUCCUGGUAAAAUCGGGUAGCUUAACUAUCUAUAUGCUAGGAAUACUGCUAUACUAGAGGGCGGGAGAGGUCUGAGGUACUACAGGGGUAGGGGUGAAAUCUUAUAAUCCUUGUAGGACCACCAGUGGCGAAGGCGUCAGACUGGAACGCGCCUGACGGUGAGGGACGAAAGCCAGGGGAGCGAACCGGAUUAGAUACCCGGGUAGUCCUGGCCGUAAACGAUGCAUACUAGGUGAUGGCACGGCCAUGAGCCGUGUCAGUGCCGUAGGGAAACCGUUAAGUGUGCCGCCUGGGAAGUACGGUCGCAAGGCUAAAAC